CUGGCUGGCCGGCCUGGCGCGUGCGCACGCGCGCGGUCCCCCCGGAGGCGUCUGGGUGUGCGGAGCGCGCGCGCGCGGCUCGGAGGCGCACCUGUGAGGUGUCCCCUGAGGAGAGCAGGAGGCCGGUGGGCGCGCGGAGUCCGCGGCCUAGACGCGCUCCUCAGCCACACUUGGGAGCGAGUUGGACCGGCCGAUCGUAUUAGCACUGCACAGUCCGGGCCGAAGCCGUCCAGCAUCCCGCCCAGGUGAUGAGGACCUCCCCGUGUCCCCAGCGCGCCAGGCUGCUGCUGCUGCUGCCGCCGGACGCCUCCAUUGUCUGACCACCGCCAGGGCCGGGCCCUCGGCAGACCUGCAAAUUCAAGCUACUUCCCUCUGGGAGAUAGGAGAGCUACCUCCUCAGGACCAAGAAAAGAAAACCAACGUGCUACUGUAUAGAGUCCCCAGAAGUAAGACUGACUGUCCCUGGAGCCAAGGAGCCUUCAUGCUGGCAAGGCCUGCAUCUGAUGGGCAGGAGGCAAAGCGACGAUCUGACUCUCCUGGGGGUGCUCUGGAGGCUCAUCACCAGCUGGCGUCUUUUGCCCUGGGCAGACAGAUCAAACUGCACAGGCUUUAAUGACUGAGAAGUAGAAGAGUACCGUACAUCAGAGAACGACUCCAGGGGCUCAGAACAAAGGCUUAUUACUCUUUCCUGUCCCUGGAAUGUUGACCACUCAGGAUCUAAAGGAACAAAAGCUCUAUGCUGAUGAGCUAUGGAAUUCA